GACGAACGCUGGCGGCGUGCUUAACACAUGCAAGUCGAACGGAAAGGCCCUGCUUUUGUGGGGUGCUCGAGUGGCGAACGGGUGAGUAACACGUGAGUAACCUGCCCUUGACUUUGGGAUAACUUCAGGAAACUGGGGCUAAUACCGGAUAGGAGCUCCUGCUGCAUGGUGGGGGUUGGAAAGUUUCGGCGGUUGGGGAUGGACUCGCGGCUUAUCAGCUUGUUGGUGGGGUAGUGGCUUACCAAGGCUUUGACGGGUAGCCGGCCUGAGAGGGUGACCGGCCACAUUGGGACUGAGAUACGGCCCAGACUCCUACGGGAGGCAGCAGUGGGGAAUAUUGCACAAUGGGCGGAAGCCUGAUGCAGCAACGCCGCGUGCGGGAUGACGGCCUUCGGGUUGUAAACCGCUUUCGCCUGUGACGAAGCGUGAGUGACGGUAAUGGGUAAAGAAGCACCGGCUAACUACGUGCCAGCAGCCGCGGUGAUACGUAGGGUGCGAGCGUUGUCCGGAUUUAUUGGGCGUAAAGGGCUCGUAGGUGGUUGAUCGCGUCGGAAGUGUAAUCUUGGGGCUUAACCCUGAGCGUGCUUUCGAUACGGGUUGACUUGAGGAAGGUAGGGGAGAAUGGAAUUCCUGGCGGAGCGGUGGAAUGCGCAGAUAUCAGGGGGAACACCAGUGGCGAAGGCGGUUCUCUGGGCCUUUCCUGACGCUGAGGAGCGAAAGCGUGGGGAGCGAACAGGCUUAGAUACCCUGGUAGUCCACGCUGUAAACGGUGGGUACUAGGUGUGGGGUCCAUUCCACGGGUUCCGUGCCGUAGCUAACGCUUUAAGUACCCCGCCUGGGGAGUACGGCCGCAAGGCUAAAACUCAAAGGAAUUGACGGGGCCCCGCACAAGCGGCGGAGCAUGCGGAUUAAUUCGAUGCAACGCGUAGAACCUUACCUGGGUUUGACAUGGAUCGGGAGUGCUCAGAGAUGGGUGUGCCUCUUUUGGGGUCGGUUCACAGGUGGUGCAUGGCUGUCGUCAGCUCGUGUCGUGAGAUGUUGGGUUAAGUCCCGCAACGAGCGCAACCCUUGUUCACUGUUGCCAGCACGUUAUGGUGGGGACUCAGUGGAGACCGCCGGGGUCAACUCGGAGGAAGGUGGGGAUGACGUCAAGUCAUCAUGCCCCUUAUGUCCAGGGCUUCACGCAUGCUACAAUGGCUGGUACAGAGAGUGGCGAGCCUGUGAGGGUGAGCGAAUCUCGGAAAGCCGGUCUCAGUUCGGAUUGGGGUCUGCAACUCGACCUCAUGAAGUCGGAGUCGCUAGUAAUCGCAGAUCAGCAACGCUGCGGUGAAUACGUUCCCGGG
rnacentral:rRNA from 1 species